rnacentral:rRNA from 1 species
GACGGAGGAUGCAAGUGUUAUCCGGAAUCACUGGGCGUAAAGCGUCUGUAGGUGGUCAAAUAAGUCAACUGUGAAAACUCGAGGCUCAACCUCGAGACGUCGGUUGAAACCGUAUGACUAGAGUCCGGAAGAGGAGAGUGGAAUUCCCGGUGUAGCGGUGAAAUGCGCAGAUAUCGGGAAGAACACCCGUGGCGAAGGCGGCUCUCUGGGACGGUACUGACGCUGAGACGCGAAAGCGUGGGGAGCGAACAGG